GCACAAUGGGCGCAAGCCUGAUGCAGCCAUUGCCGCGUGUAUGAAGAAGGCCUUCGGGUUGUUAAAGUACUUUCAGCAGUGAGGAAGUGGGUAUGUUAAUAGCAUACUCAUUUGACGUUUAGCUGCAGAAGAAGCACCGGCUAACUCCGUGCCAGCAGCCGCGGUAAUACGGAGGGUGCGAGCGUUAAUCGGAAUUACUGGGCGUAAAGCGCAUGCAGGUGGUUUGUUAAGUCAGAUGUGAAAGCCCGGGGCUCAACCUCGGAAUUGCAUUUGAAACUGGCAAACUAGAGUACUGUAGAGGGGGUAGAAUUUCAGGUGUAGCGGUGAAAUGCGUAGAGAUCUGAAGGAAUACCGGUGGCGAAGGCGGCCCCCUGGACAGAUACUGACACUCAGAUGACGAAAGCGGUGGGGACGACAAACAGGUAUUAGACUACCCGUGGUAG
rnacentral:rRNA from 1 species